rnacentral:lncRNA from 1 species
UCUUCAUCUUAGAUAAACUUCUUUUCUAAGAAGACGGCAUGAUGGUUCACAAUCACAUUAUGAUCUUUUAAAAGAUAGAAAUAGUACUUCAUGAAUUUCUUAGGAUACCCUAUAAAAUGAGCCCUAAGUGACCUAGCCUCUAACUUGUCCAUGUGUUGUAGCUUGACAUGAGCUGGAUAUCCCCAAAUCUUAAGAUAACCAAGACUCAGCUUCUUACUA